UUGACCUUUCACCGGUACACAGCGCUGCUCGUGGCGUCCCGAAGUACUUGCUCAUUGUUUGAGUCAAAGAGGGUGGGCUAGGGCAUUAGCUCACGCUAAUGUUAGUAAUGACACCGGCGGUGAGAGACGCUACUGUCGAUUCUGGUGGCUGUGGGAGUUGGCUCAUUAUCGGGGGAAUUUUCGAACGCCUCUUUGCGCCGAAAUCCCAUUGGGGUUAGCGGCACUCUUCUCUCGAGGAAAUAUCGUACCAUCAUCAUUCGCCAUUCUAUUGCGAACUUAUAGCAUAUCGGAUUUUUUUAUCACCCCAAAGCCCCCCGGAAAGGGGGCGUAGUUACUGCCCCCUCGUCCUCCACGUUUUGGCACCGGGUAAUAGAUUGACGACGUUUUUCGCCAGCAUCGAGUGGGCCAAAAUGAAAGAAUGAGACCAAAAUGAAAAAUGGACCCUUGACACGACAGGGAUUCAGCUUCGUUCUACGCACUUCUAUUUAGUGGACUGCAGUCACAUACAGCGAUGGUACUUGAACUGAAGGCUGAAGGCUAUCGGGCUAAUAUUGUAUACAGUGUUUAUGUGACUAAAGAAACAUGAUUCCUGGUGCGAUAGGUGGAGUGGGGAAAUGAUACUUCAUCGCCGAAUUUCAGAGAAUUAGAGACAAUGUAUGAUACCGUGUGUGAUAGCGUGUGAUGAUGGAAUUAUUGAUCAGGUAAGCUUCUGACGAAUUUCGUACAUUUUUUUGACUGUUUGCAAAGCACUAAGUAAGCUUCAAUACUCGGAGGAGGGAUAUGUCAAGAUCGAAAUGUCGAUGCAUCCGUCAUUAUUGCAUUCUGCGCAGAUUUUUUAUUUUCCUUUCCUUAUUUUUAGUUGAUUAGAAAUUACAUAAAUGCAUGAAGUGAGGCAAUCCCGAUAAGUGGAUCUUACAUGACUUAGGGAAAAAUGUGAUUGAAUCCCUGACCGAUCAACUAAUUAUCGAUGGGGGGAUUCGAUAAAAGUCGGGAGCAAAGUCGGAUGGGAUUUGAAGAGAAGAUCCAGAGGGGCGAGUUUGUUUUAGAUGGUUUAGAUCCAUAUGUCAUGGGAUUUUGAAGUCGUCAAGUCCAUAUGAUGUUAUGGUGCAGGUUUCUACUAUUGGGAGUGAUCGGAUUAGUCAUCGAUCAAUUGCGUCUCGUCGAUAGGCGUUAAUAAAGGGGAAGAGAGCAUCGAGACACCGGCACGAAGCUGUUUGGCGAAUUUUUACGAAAUUUCGAUUAAAAAUAUCACAUGGGUAAAGGACAUUGUCCAUUCCGAGUGUUAUCGUUCAAGGAAAUAAAGUAUUCCAUUUUAAUUAAUUGACACCUUGGGUAAUGAAAUGAAAUAUUCCACUUAAAAAAAUUGAAUAAUAGAAUUUUUCUCUUAUUUCGAUGUUACAACAGAUUUCAUACUGCCUAUACAAAAUUAUUCAACUCUCUGAGGCACUCAUUCGUUGUUUCCGUAGAUUUGUUACACAUUUUGUUUGAUUGUUUCGGUCUUUUUUUACGGCGAAUACUCAAAAAAAUGAUGGUUGACAAUGUUCGUUGAUAAAAUUGGGAGGAGAUGGGGGGUUAAUAUUUGUUAAUCAGCAACAUGCACAUGAGAAUUUUUCUAAAAACAAUUUCUUUUCAUGACAAUCGAUCUAUCGUACGUGAAAAAUAAAAUGUUAUAAAACGAUGAAAAUGGUCAGUCAGGUGAGUGGAGUUGGGAAAUUGAGGAGUGAAGGGAGGGGAAGAGGAGGGAGAUGAAGGCACGAUGAAUUAUUUGAAUUUACAAAUUACAAUAAAUAACAAAGAUCGUAGCAAAAUCAUGUCUGAAUUACAGGCGACUCUAGUAUUCUAAUAUUUACACAAAUUACUUUUUUAUCUCUCAAUAUCAAAAUAUAAUACGAUCUUUUAAUAUUUUGUCCAGUACUUUUUCCUUCUAUAAAACAAAUUCUGCUCGUCAUGUUCAAUUAUAAAAAUACCAUUUGUAUCUAUUUUUUUUGUUUUUUCCCUUCUGUUGCACAGUGUGAUUUCUCUUCAUUAUUUUUUUGUUUAGGGUUGUUAAUCAGACUUCGUCGGAUGCAAGAUAUUCCUUCUCCUCAGUUGCUGCUGAUUUUUCAUUUCUUUCUUCUUCCUUCAUUUGUAAUGCAACAGCCGACUCCAGCACGCGAAUUCUUCCCUCAUGUUUCAUUAUUACCGCCUUUAAUUUACGUAUUUCUUCGGCAAAUUCUUUGAUAAUAUCAUCCUGUUCAUCGAAAACCAAGAAGAUGAAUUAAUUAAUCUCGCCUCGGUAUCAGAGGAAAUCAUUCAGUAAACGAUAAAUUACUCACCGAUAUUCCAGAAUUUUGCGAAGAAUUUUGUGCAUUAGCUCCUACUUUGGCACCUUUACCAAGUACAUUGGCCUUUUUAGUAACUUUUAGUUCAUUUUUGGAGGUAGCAGGUUGAUAACCAUCUCUCAGAGAUAUUAGCAGAGGUUCAGCAUCUGUACCAUUUAGCCACUCUUCCGCUGAUAUUGCAGCUGUAUGACCUGGGGUAUCGGGAUAGAGAUCCUCUUGGAAGAGCUCAGACUGUAAUUUUUAAUCAUCGAAAUUUUAUUAUUCAAGGUUGUGGAUCGCGACAUUGAUUGCGCGACAUGAGUACGAGAUUCCCGAUAAUAUUAUUCUCUAAUCUCUCGAUUAAGAUGCCAUAUCCCUUCCCCAUUCCCUGCAAUGACGUCAGGUCUCUCGAGAUUUUUCUUCCUCGAAGAGUUACUAAUAGAAUUACAAGUGUCUUCCAAUUAACUGAAAAUUCCAAGAUAUUGUACACUUUGGCCGACUGUUCUCACAGAUAAGAAUUGAACAGCUCCACGUGCUUGCUCAGCACCAGCGUGGAGUUGAAAGGGGAAAUAAGGUUAUGUCUUACGAGCGGGAGUGGUGAGGGACAAGUAGCGUUCUACAUGAUCGACGAGUUCACGGUGGCGCAUGAACUACGAUGGUGAAGGUGCCUGUCGUGGAUGAAUAAAAGUAAUUGACGCAGCAAAAGGGGAGCAUGGAAGAGCAUUAUGCGGCUUCGAUCGAUAAUCCAAGUGCAAUUGGUGCAAUCCGGACCCAAGUGAUCUCAGGAGAAAAUGGUGAGACACCGUUGCAGCAGGUUGAAGGGUCCAAUGUUCAAACGAAUGCAAUUCAAUAAUAUUCUUCUUUCAUCAGAGGAAAAAGUUGCAUUCCAUUCAAGCGGCCCAACCAGAGACUCCGUUUCUUCCAGUUCUACAGAAGACCGACCGACCCCCGGGUGCUACAAUAAUUUUUCUACCGCCGUGGGGUUACGACCCCUUUACAAAGGAGGGAAGUGCAAAUAAAUAAUAAUAAUGA